rnacentral:rRNA from 1 species
UAGUGGCGAACGGGUGAGUAACACGUGGGCAAUCUGCCCUGCACUCUGGGACAAGCCCUGGAAACGGGGUCUAAUACCGGAUAUGACCUGGUGAGGCAUCUCAUCGGGUGGAAAGCUCCGGCGGUGCAGGAUGAGCCCGCGGCCUAUCAGCUUGUUGGUGGGGUGAUGGCCUACCAAGGCGACGACGGGUAGCCGGCCUGAGAGGGCGACCGGCCACACUGGGACUGAGACACGGCCCAGACUCCUACGGGAGGCAGCAGUGGGGAAUAUUGCACAAUGGGCGAAAGCCUGAUGCAGCGACGCCGCGUGAGGGAUGACGGCCUUCGGGUUGUAAACCUCUUUCAGCAGGGAAGAAGCGAGAGUGACGGUACCUGCAGAAGAAGCGCCGGCUAACUACGUGCCAGCAGCCGCGGUAAUACGUAGGGCGCAAGCGUUGUCCGGAAUUAUUGGGCGUAAAGAGCUCGUAGGCGGCUUGUCACGUCGGAUGUGA